rnacentral:rRNA from 1 species
GACGAACGCUGGCGGCGUGCUUAACACAUGCAAGUCGAACGGAAAGACCCUGCUUUUGCGGCGUGCUCGUUUGCGGAACGCGUGAGUAACACGUGAGUAUACUCUCCCUAUCAUUGGGAUAACUCUACGAAACACGGGCUAAUAUCGGAUAGGAGAUCCUGCUCCACGGUGGUGGAUGGAAAGUUUCGGCGGUGGUGGAUGGACUAGCAGCUUAUCCGCUUGUUAGUGGGGUAGUGACGUCCCAAGGUUUUGAAGGGUAGCCGGCCUAAGAGGGUGACCGGGCACCUUGGUACUGAGGUACGGACCAGACUCCAACGGGAGGCAGUGGUGGGGAAUAUUGCGCAGCGGGCGGACGUCAGUGACGGCAGCGCCGCGUGCGGGAUGACGGGCUUCGGGUUGUAAACAGAUUUGUCCUGUGACGAAGAGUGAGUGACGGUAAUGAGUAAGGAAGCACCGGCUAACUACGUG